rnacentral:sRNA from 1 species
UUAUACAAUUAUGGUAAGUGGCCUUGGC